rnacentral:rRNA from 1 species
AGAGUGAACGCUGGCGGUAGGCCUAACACAUGCAAGUCGAACGGCAGCACAGGAGAGCUUGCUCUCUGGGUGGCGAGUGGCGGACGGGUGAGUAAAGCCUAGGAAUCUGCCUGGUAGUGGGGGGAUAACGCUCGGAAACGGACGCUAAUACCGCAUACGUCCUACGGGAGAAAGCAGGGGACCUUCGGGCCUUGCGCUAUCAGAUGAGCCUAGGUCGGAUUAGCUAGUUGGUGAGGUAAUGGCUCACCAAGGCGACGAUCCGUAACUGGUCUGAGAGGAUGAUCAGUCACACUGGAACUGAGACACGGUCCAGACUCCUACGGGAGCAGCAGUGGGAAUAUGGACAAUGGGACGAAAGCCUGAUCCAGCCAUCGCCGCGUGUGUGAAGUAGGUCUUCGGAUUGAAAGCUAACGUUUAAGGUGGAAGGAGGCAAUUAACUAAUACGUUAGUGUUUAGACGUUACGA